UAGGGUUUGAUUAUGGCUCAGAACGUACGCUGGCGGCACGCCUAACACAUGCAAGUCGAACGAAGUAGCAAUACUUAGUGGCAGACGGGUGAGUAACAUGUAGGUAUCUGCCCUUUGGCCUGGAAUAACACGAGGAAACUUGUGCUAAUACCGGAUAAGUCUUUACGGGGAAAGCUUUAUGCACCAUUGGAUGAGCCUGCACUUGAUUAGUUUGUUGGUGGGGUAAUGGCCUACCAAGACUGUGAUCAAUAGCUGAUUUGAGAGGAUGAUCAGCCACAUUGGGACUGAGACACGGCCCAAACUCCUACGGGAGGCAGCAGUGGGGAAUCUUGCACAAUGGAGGAAACUCUGAUGCAGCGAUGCCGCGUGAGUGAAGAAGGCCCUUGGGUUGUAAAGCUCUUUCGUCGGGGAAGAAAAUGACUGUACCCGAAUAAGAAGGUCCGGCUAACUUCGUGCCAGCAGCCGCGGUAAUACGAAGGGACCUAGCGUAGUUCGGAAUUACUGGGCUUAAAGAGUUCGUAGGUGGUUGAAAAAGUUAGUGGUGAAAUCCCAGAGCUUAACUCUGGAACUGCCAUUAAAACUUUUCAGCUAGAGUAUGAUAGAGGAAAGCAGAAUUUCUAGUGUAGAGGUGAANUUCGUAGAUAUUAGAAAGAAUACCAAUUGCGAAGGCAGCUUUCUGAAUCAUUACUGACACUGAGGAACGAAAGCAUGGGUAGCGAAGAGGAUUANAUACCCUCGUANUCCAUGCCGUANACGAUGUGUGUUAGACGUUGGAAAUUUAUUUUCAGUGUC
rnacentral:rRNA from 1 species